rnacentral:rRNA from 1 species
UGGUGGAGCGAUUUGUCUGGUUAAUUCCGAUAACGAGCGAGACCUCAGUUUAUUAAUUAGUUGUGUGAAUUUCUAAUUCAUACCAACAGCUUCUUAGAGAGCUCUCGGUGAUUAGCCGAUGGAAGUUUGAGGCAAUAACA